UUGCUUCAACAGUACAUAUACUAAAAUACGAAUGAUACUGAAGAGAUUGGCAUGGCCCCUGCAUAAGGAUGACAUGCAAAUUUGUGAAGUGUUCCAUAUUUAU